GCUUAACCGAAGAAGUGCAUCGGAAACUGGGAGACUCGAGUGCAGAAGAGGACAGUGGAACUCCAUGUGUAGCGGUGGAAUGCGUAGAUAUAUGGAAGAACACCAGUGGCGAAGGCGGCUGUCUAGUCUGUAACUGACGCUGAGGCUCGAAAGCAUGGGUAGCGAACAGGAUUAGAUACCCUGGUAGUCCAUGCCGUAAACGAUGAGUGCUAAGUGUUGGAGGGUUUCCGCCCUUCAGUGCUGCAGCUAACGCAUUAAGCACUCCGCCUGGGGAGUACGACCGCAAGGUUGAAACUCAAAGGAAUUGACGGGGGCCCGCACAAGCGGUGGAGCAUGUGGUUUAAUUCGAAGCUACGCGAAGAACCUUACCAGGUCUUGACAUCUUCUGCCAAUCUAAGAGAUUAGACGUUCCCUUCGGGGACAGAAUGACAGGUGGUGCAUGGUUGUCGUCAGCUCGUGUCGUGAGAUGUUGGGUUAAGUCCCGCAACGAGCGCAACCCUUAUUAUCAGUUGCCAGCAUUCAGUUGGGCACUCUGGUGAGACUGCCGGUGACAAACCGGAGGAAGGUGGGGAUGACGUCAAAUCAUCAUGCCCCUUAUGACCUGGGCUACACACGUGCUACAAUGGACGGUACAACG
rnacentral:rRNA from 1 species